rnacentral:rRNA from 1 species
AGAGUUUUGAGUCCUGGCGUCAGGAUGAACGGCUGGCGGCGGUGCCUAAUACAUGCAAGUCGAGCGAACCACUUCGGUGGGAAGCGGCGAACGGGUGAGGUAACACGUAGGUAAUCUGCCCAUCAGACGGGGACAACGAUUGGAAACGAUCGCUAAUACCGGAUAGGACGAAAGUUUAAAGAUGCUCCUGGCAUCACUGAUGGAUGAGCCUGCGGCGCAUUAGCUAGUUGGUGGGGUAAAGGCCUACCAAGGCGACGAUGCGUAGCCGACCUGAGAGGGUGAACGGCCACACUGGGACUGAGACACGGCCCAGACUCCUACGGGAGGCAGCAGUAGGGAAUCUUCGGCAAUGGGCGAAAGCCUGACCGAGCAACGCCGCGUGAAUGAAGAAGGCCUUCGGGUUGUAAAAUUCUAGUUAUAAGGGAAGAAAGGUGAUAGGAGGAAAUGACUAUCAAUUGACGGUACCUUAUGAGAAAGCCACGGCUAACUACGUG